UACAGAGACUGCAAGCGUUAUUCGGAUUCACUGGGCGUAAAGGGUGCGCAGGCGGCCAAGUGUGUCUGGUGUGAAAUCUCGGGGCUUAACUCCGAAAUUGCGCCGGAAACUACAUGGCUAGAGUACUGGAGAGGGUAGCGGAAUUCAUGGUGUAGCAGUGAAAUGCGUAGAUAUCAUGAGGAAUACCAAUGGCGAAGGCAGCUACCUGGACAGUUACUGACGCUCAGGCACGAAAGCGUGGGGAGCAAAAGGG
rnacentral:rRNA from 1 species